GCGGGAUUGGCAGAUGCGGCUAUGCACUCGCCUUUUAAGCGAGACGAAGCAGGUUCGAUUCCUGCAUCCCGCACCA
rnacentral:tRNA from 3 species